UGGAAUUGAAACCACAAGCUGUGGACACGCUCUAAUCUCAAGUAUCAAUAAAGAAGGAAGGUGAUUAGGCAAGCCAUUUGUUAACUCGGGACAACCUGCUAUCAAGAGCUUUGCAAGAUGAGGGAAAGCACCAGCUACAUCUGUAUUCCAUUCCUGCCAUUUUUUCAUCCCCUCGAACUUUAAUAUUUUGAGGGAUUUAAAUGGCUUCUCCAUCGAAGAGUCACUUCCAUAGAACUCAGAGCCAACUGCCACGACUUCAUCAAAUCCUUUAAUUUGGAGCUCUUCUAGAGAUGAAAGCUGCCCCAGUGGUGGUAAGGAGAUGCAGUUCUUACAUCCAGAAAGUGUCAACGCUACCAUAUUUGAGAAGGAAGAGUUUCCAAACCAACCUGGAAACAUCGUACCCCCAUAACCAGUAAUGACAAGCUGUUUCACAUUUUCAGAAGGCUCCAAUUUCUCAAGCACGUCUCUCUCAUGUUGUGUGUCAUCCGUAUUACCACCCCAUAUCAACCUCAGCUUCUCAAUCUUCUUCUUACCCUUCAAAUUGGCAUCCAAAGCAUCUUGAGCAUUUGCAACAUCUCUGAGAUUCCGAAUAGAAAGUUUUCUCCUUAUAUGUGAGAGCUUCCCCAGCUCUUUCAUGCUAGACCCACUCUCUUUUCCCACGACGUAAUAUUGCAAAGUUCGAAGCUUUGUGAGUUUCCCCAUUUUUGGUGGCAUCACUUUCAAAUUUGUCCCUUCAAUAUCAAGAUGUUGUAACUCGACCAAGUUCGAAAUGUUGGAUGGCAACUCCAUGAGAUGUCGACACUCUCUUAACAACAGAGUUUGCAGAUAGUACAAGGUGCUCACACUUUCGGCAACCGUUCAAUUAAUGUCUGAGAAAGGUCCAAGUGCCGCAAAUGUUUCAAGUUGCCGAUGGAAUUGGGCAAAUGAGAAGAUUUAUAGCUCCACCGAUAUAAAGAUAGCGUUCGCAAGCGCUUAAGAUUUGUCAACAUGUCAUUCAGCACCCCACUAUCAAUCCCCCCCACGUAUGUUAGUGGAGACAAGGUGCGCAAAUGUUGGACUCCAUGAAUGCGAGGAAAUAUCUUAGAGACCCCAUCACAUAGUGUUGAAGUGAUUGAUAAAUGACGAGUCCUUUCUGGAAGCGUGCAUGAAUUUUCACCCUCCAACGUAGUGCCCGAUUCUCCAUCCAUAACAAGUUUAAAGCAGAAUUCUCCUGACAUGUAUUCAGCUAGAUCACUUGUGAGGUCGUGCAUGCUGAAAUAUGAUGGGGCGUAAAGUGAUUGCUGAAACAGUGACCUAGAGACAAGGUCAUUGAAGUAUUUGUCACCUAUUUCUUCCAUCUCCUCAACACCUCUGGACUGGACUAGAAAACCUUGUGCCAUCCAUGAAGUGAUUACUUGAUUCUUCUCAAAUACAUAACCCUUGGGAAAUAUUGCACAAUAAGCAAAACAACGUUUGAGGUGUGAAGGGAGAUAAUAAUAGCUCAAUGUUAGAGCUGGAGGGAUGUUUUCAUUCGACAAACCCCACAUGUUGCUAUUGGAUAUCUUCUCCCAUUCCUUGACAUCUCCUUCGGAAUGCAAAAGACCCCCAAGAGUUUUCGCAGCCAGCGGUAAACCUUUGCACUUUCUCGCUAUUUCUCUGCCAAAUGUUUCCAAGUGUGAGAAUGCUCCAGAAUUUGCACUGCUAAAUGCAUGCCUUGCAAACAACUGCCAGCAAUCUUCAUCGCUGAUUACAUUCAAGCGGUGAGAGGGGAUGACAGUUUGCGUGACUUUUGCUACAUCUUCAUUCCGUGUUGUCACGACAAUCUUACUUCCAGGCUCUGCAUACUGCAAAGGUAGCAGUAAUUUAACCCAUUCAUUGUACACAAUGUUCCACGCAUCAUCUAGAACAAGUAGAAGUUUUUUCCCUUUCAAUGCCUCCAUUAGAGAUUCAUCUGGUUCUUUGGUGCCGCAAGUACCUGCGUUGAUCUUCUUAAGAAUAUCAUCAACUAUCCUGGUGACGUCAAAUUGUUGAGAAGCCCAGACCCAGGCUUUGAGCUCGAAGCACUCAUCUACCCUUCUGUCUUUGUAGAUAAGCUGAGCAAGAGUGGUUUUACCAACCCCUCCCAUGCCCACAAUAGGAAUCACACCUACAUUUGCACCAUUUGUAUUGUUUUUUGUCAACAAGUACUUCAUUAUGGCUUCCUUAUCAGCUUCCCUUCCAUAUACAUGAGAUUCAUCAACCACAGGAGUUGUUUUCUCUGACAAUGGUCUCCAUCCACCAGUACCUUCUAUGUGCGCAGAUCACCCUUGUGUUUAACUAAACGUUCAAGCUUCUCAUAGAUCUUUUGCAACUCUGCUUCCAUCUCUUUCAUCCUUUUAUUAGCUGGAUUAAGAAUUGGAAACAAAUUCCUUACCUGCAAUGGCGGAACAUAUCCAUGUAUAUGAGAUAGAAUUUAGGAACAUAUAAAUACUAAAAUUAUUAAACUCGUACCGAGUAAGUUAACACACAGAUGCAAUGAUGUUUUGUUUAUAAAAAAUUAAAAAAAAAUUAAAAUGAGAUUAUUUUCUUAAAAAAAUUAAGUCUAACCAAGAUUCUAAUGAGAUGAUAGGAUGGUGAAUUAACCCUCCAGGUUACUAAAAUUUGAAAGAUAAAUUCAGCAAUUAGCACAGUAAACAUAAAAAAGUGAUGCAAUGAUAUCGUUUGAAAAAACUUUUGAAAAAUAGUAUAUUUUCACCUUAUCACACCUAAGAAAAGCAAUAUUUACUAAAUUUUAUUAUUACUAAGCAUAACAAGAUAGUUGUCGUACUUUGAAUAGCAACAUUUAGUAAAUGUUGUGCUUUUAAAGAGCGACAAGGUGAAACUUCAAUCAUCUGACUCAAUUAAUUGACCUGUUCAUAAUGGUUAGUGAAAUCGAUCGACCGAUUAAAAUAUAAGAAAAAUCUCAAAAAUAUCAAAAUCAAGGGGCCUCGAUGAGAUUUUUGAUAUCUAGAGAUUUGAUAGUUUACAUAACGACAUAUUGGCUACAAUAGGGAAGAUGAUUUUUGAAAACUUCUAUAUAAGUUUGAGUGCGAUUUAACAGUCUAAUAAACAAUUAUAGCUUUUUUAGUCGUUAUUCUGGUCUGUCGGAACCAGAUCUCCUCUUGAGCCUUAAACUAUCUCCUCUUUGCACUUAAUUAAAUCCUUCAAUUUAAUCUAAAUUAAUUCUUAAACAUAAUUAAAAUUUAAUUUGGCCCAUGAUUAAAUCAAAUUGGCUCAUUAAAAAUUUAAUUACGUCAUUGGACUUAAUUUGUAUGCAAAUUCAUCCAAUAAUCAUUUAAUUUGACCUUCGAAUUUGCAUUUAAUUUGACCUUCGAUUUUUGUCUAUUUUUGCAGUCUUUUUUAUCAGCUUUUUCCAUAUUGCCAGCCUUUAUUUUAUUUAUUUUAUUUUUAUUUUUUUAAAAAAAGUGAAUUUUGAAGAAUAACCCAGAAUUGAGUUAUGACAAUCUUGAAAAAUUGCAUGAUGGAUUGAGGGUUAUGAACCGUUCAAAAACUAGACUCAAAUUCUCUGUGCAAUAUAAGAAUCUAAAGCUCGUAGAAAGAAGUAGGAAAAAAUAGCUAGAAAAGUAAGAGAAUGAAGGCAAAAAAAGUUGACAAGAUCUCUGUAAUAGCUCUGGAUCUAUUGCUUGGACCAAGGAUUAAAUAUAACAUUAUAGAUAAUCAUUGUGUCUGCUUCUACCAUUUCUUUUCACUUCUUCUUAAAGGUUAAAAGGCUAAAGGUGCAACUAGGGGUGAGCAAAGAAACCGAAAAACUGAUUAAACCGAGAAAACUGGAAAAAAUAUAACCGAAAAAACCGAAUCUAAAAAAAAAACCGAUCAAACCGAUUAGAAAAAUUAAAAAACAAGCCGGUUCGGUUCGGUUUCGGUUUUAAAAAGCUAAAACCGAAUAAACCGAACCGAACUGAACCGGUUCAAGUAAAAAAAAGUAAUAGUACUAUAAAUACCUACUUUUCAGCUUUCCCCUUCUCCUUUCUAAACCCUAGCUGCCACCCAUGUUUCAUAAUCUUCACCUCUCAACUCAGCCCCUACCCCAUCUUCACUCUCAACCUUGCCCCCACCCCCAUCUUCAUUGUCAACCUUUAUCGCCCAUGUUUCUCAAUCUUCAUCUCUCAGCCAUAGUUAUUAAACCCGGCCCGGCCCGGCGGGUCGACCCGGGACCCGGUCGACCCGGUGGCUGGACCGGUUCGGGUUUAAUAAAAGACCGGCUGUGGCAACAGCCCGGCCAAACCCGGGCGACCCGGGCAAACCCGGACGAGACCCGGGUUUUUUUUUUUUUUUUAAAUUUGGGAUAAAAAAAAUUUGGUUUAAAUAUUUCAACUUAAAAUGAUAACAUAGUAUCUUUUCAAUGUGGGGUUUGAAGCCCUUUCAUAUAUAUACUCUAUGUUCACAUGAAAAAAAUUAUAUUUUUUCAAUGUGGGAUUUAAAACCCAUUAGUAUAUAUACUCUAUGUUCCCAAGGAAAAAAUCAUGUUUUUUCAAUGUGGGAUAAAAAACCUUUUGGUUUAAAUACUUCAACUUAAAGGGAUAACAUAGUAUCUUUUCAAUGUGGGAUUUGAAGCCCUUUCAUAUAUAUACUCUAUGUUCCCAUGAAAAAAGUUAUGUUUUUUCAAUGUGGGAUUUGAAACCCAUUAGUAUAUAUACUCUAUGUUCCCAAGGAAAAAUUCAUGUUUUUCCAAUGUGGGAUAAAAAACCUUUUGGUUUAAAUACUUCAACUUAAAGGGAUAACAUAGUAUCUUUUCAAUGUGGGAUUUGAAGCCCUUUCAUAUAUAUACUCUAUGUUCCCAUGAAAAAAGUUAUGUUUUUUCAAUGUGGGAUUUGAAACCCAUUAGUAUAUAUACUCUAUGUUCCCAAGGAAAAAAUCAUGUUUUUCCAAUGUGGGAUAAAAAACCUUUUGGUUUAAAUACUUCAACUUAAAGGGAUAACAUAGUAUCUUUUCAAUGUGGGAUUUGAAGCCCUUUCAUAUAUAUACUCUAUGUUCCCAUGAAAAAAGUUAUGUUUUUUAAACCAAAAUGUUUUUUAUCCCACAUUGAAAAAACAUGAUUUUUUCUUUAGGAACAUAGAGUAUAUAUACUAAUGGGUUUCAAAUCCCACAUCGAAAAAACAUAACUUUUUUCAUGGGAACAUAGAGUAUAUAUAUGAAAGGGCUUCAAAUCCCACAUUGAAAAGAUAUUAUGUUAUCCCUUUAAGUUGAAGUAUUUAAACCAAAAGGUUUUUUUAUCCCACAUUGGAAAAACAUGAUUUUUUCCUUGGGAACAUAGAGUAUAUAUACUAAUGGGUUUCAAAUCCCACAUUGAAAAAACAUAACUUUUUUCAUGGGAACAUAGAGUAUAUAUAUGAAAGGGCUUCAAAUCCCACAUUGAAAAGAUACUAUGUUAUCCCUUUAAGUUGAAGUAUUUAAACCAAAAGGUUUUUUAUCCCACAUUGAAAAAACAUGAUUUUUUCCUUGGGAACAUAGAGUAUAUAUACUAAUGGGUUUCAAAUCCCACAUUGAAAAAAUAUAAUUCAACUUAAAAUACUUCAACUUAAAAGCUUAACAUAAUAUCUUUUUAACGUGGGAUAAAAAACUUUUUAAAAUAUUAUUUUAAACUUGAUUAUUUAUAAUAUAUAUAAUCUAUAUUUACAUGAAUUUUUUCAUAUGAAAUAUUAAUUUUUUUUUAAUUAUUACGGGUUAAUCCGGGUCAACCCGGGUUGACCCAUGAAACCCGAGACCCAGCCCCUUGGCCGGGUCAACCCCCGGGCCGGGUUUAAUAACUAUGCUCUCAGCACAGCCCCCCCUCCCAUCUUCAUCUCUCAUCCCUCAACCUUUCUCACAACCCGCCAUCACAGCCCCCCAUCUUCAUCUCUUAUCUCUCAACAUUUCUCACAAACCCCCCUCAACAUCUUCAUCUCUCAUCUCUCUCAACCUUUCUUUAAGGCUUCAAGCAUAAUUUUUUUGUCCUUUUCUUUAAGCAUAGUCGACUAAGCUCCAUGGAUUAACAACCAAAUAGCAGCUCUAGAGCCUCCCUCUCUUCAAUCUUUAUCUCUUAAUUUUUGUCCCUGUUUAUUUUUUUUUCUGAUUUCUGUAGAUCUGUUAUGUAUUCAUUUUCUAUAUUUAUUUACAAGAAUGUUGAUUUGCCAUUCAUGUUGCGAUUACUGUAAUGGAUGUUGUGAUAAAUAUUUUUUUCAAAUUUUCGUUUGAAUCUUGUUCUUUUUGGCUUCCUGAUUUAGAAAACCUGCUUGGUAUGCUUGGCCAAGAUGCAAUCAGUUUUUUCCGGUUUUUUCUUUCAAUUAACCGAACCGAACCGAAAAUGGUCGGUUUGAACCGGUUUCGAUUCGGUUUCGGUUUUCAUUUAAAAAUAAAUAAAUAAAUUGGUUUGGUUAGUUUUUUUGGUGAAAACCGGACCGAACUGGAAAUGCUCACCCCUAGGUGCAACCAUUGUUUUCUUGUUUCAAGCAGGAAAUUUUUUUUGCCUAACAAAAACAUAUGUACCUCCUUUUGUUUCCACCAAAGACAAAAAAAAUAGUUGGGAUACUGACUCGAAACAUGCAUUUAUAUGAUCAUAAAUAAUAAAUGGUAGUCCAAAUCAUUAAAUAAAUGAGUUUUAGCUUAUGUUUUAAUUUAAUUUAUUUGAACUUUUAGUUGAAAUGUAUUAAUUAGAUAUUAUUUGUUGGGUUUGAUUUAAUUAUUGUUAGGUAUUUUAUUUAGUGGACUAUACACUUAAUUGUUUGUUCUAGUUUGGGUUUCAGUAUUUGAUAAGCUUUUUCUUCUCUUUAGUUGGCUUCCCUUUCUUUUCUCUCUUCUUUAACUUUAAAUCUCUUUUGUCUUGUAUCAAAUUUGGUAUUAGAUUAUUGUUCUUGGUGGGAUUAGAGUUUUUUCUUGAUAAAUGGUAGUCAAAUUUGGUAUUAGAGCGCAAGUACAAAACUAGUUACAUGGUAUAGUCAAACCACCUCCUAUAACAAAAUUAAGGGUGUGCUUGGGAAGGCGGUACAAAUCGUGUUCCCUCAAAUUUUAAAUUUUUUUUUAUUUUUGCUUUUUUAUAGUUUUUGAUCAUUUUGAUGUGUUGAUGUCAAAAAUAAUUUUAAAAAACUAAAAAACUUUUAUUUUACUACAUUUCUAAACAAAACAUCCUUUGAAUUGUCACUGCUAACAUAAUUUCAAACACAUUCUAAGGAUGCGUUUGUUUCCUAGAAAGUGGUUUUUUAAAAAAACAAUUUUUCAAACUUUCCUGUGUUUAUUUACCAUUACGAAAGUUGGUCAAUGAAAAAUACUUUUCGGUCAACGAAAAACACUUUCAUGUCAAAGGAAAAUUUAACUUGAUUUCUAGGAAAGUAUUUUCCUUUUAUUUUGGGUGGAAAACACUUUCUAAAAGUUGUGAAAAAUAUAAAAAUAUCAUAUUAUUUGCUGAUUAUGUCAAAUUUGGUCCUCAAACUUUUGAUUGUUAUAUAUUUUGUUCGAAUUUUUUUUCUUUCAAAUUCAUCCCUUAAAAUUUGAUUUAAUUUAAUUUUUAUAUUCACUUUGAUCCUUUUUUUUUAUGAUUGUUAUUUACUUUUCUCUUAUUAUUUUUAAAAUUGAAUUUUUUUUAUCUGUCAAAUUUGAUCUUCAUUCUUUUGAUUGUUACUUAUUUUAUUUAAAAUAAUUAAUAAAAUUAUAAUAAUUAUUAUUUUAAUUUCAUCAUCUUUCAAUUUUUUUAUCUGUUAAAUUUGAUCUCUAUUAUUUUAAUUAUUAUUUAUUUUAUUUGAGAUCAUUUAUGAACUUAAUUUUUUUUUAAUUCUAUUCUCAUUCAACUUUUUAGUUUAUAAAAUUUGUUUCUUAUUAUUUUAAUAAACUUGAAAUAAAAUAAAACAUUAAAAAGCUAUUUUCCGGCUCAUUUUCUAUAAUAUAACCAAACACUGAAAAGUGUUUUCCAAUUUUCUUUGCAUGAUACUACCAAAUAUUAAAAAAUAAUUAAUUUCUUGGAAUUCAUUUCUAAAAAAACUAUAUUUAAAAAAAAAACUAUUUUUCUACCAACAAACGAAGCCUAUGUAAACUAAGUAAACGACAACGUUUGAUAUCCCUAUAUCGGAAAGGGGUCAGCCAUUCUCUUGGCACGGACUCGAGCUUAGGACAAUUCGAGAUAAUCAAUCGGCGAAGAGAGGUGAGGUGCUGCAGCCCCAUUACAGAUUUCAGAUUUAUCAGACCUGAUAUUUGAAGAGAUACAAGGGAGGAGGGCAGCUUCUCUCCUGGCAUGGACUCGAGCUUAGGAGAACUACAGAUAUGUAAUUUACGAAGAGAGGUGAGGUGCUGAAACCCCUUAUAUUCCAGAUCUUCCAAAUCCCAGAUUUCAAGGUCUUCAAGGGAGGAGGGAAGGGUGCCUUCUUGAAGGGACUCAAGCUUAAGGCUCCUCCUUAUCUUCAUUUUGCGAAGAGAGGUGAGGUGCCGAAGCUCCUUGUAGUCCCGGUCUUGCUGAUUCCAUAAUUGAAGGAUUUCAAGGGAGGAAGGCAGCCCCUGCAACGAUUCAAGUUUAGGACAAUUCCCGAUCUUCAAAUUGUGAAGAGAGGUGAGGUGCUGAAGCCCAAUGUAGUCCAGAGAUUCCAGUUUACAGAGAUAAAGGCAUUCAAGGGAGGAGGGCAGCGCCUGUUCUGGAUAUGUGCUCAAGUUUAGGGUAACUCUCAAUACUCAAAUUUCUAAGAGAGGUGAGGUGAUGAAGCCCCUGGUAUUCAAGGGAGGAGGGCAGCACCUGUUCUGAUAUGAACUCAACUUUAGGGCAACUCUUGAUCUUCAAUGUGUCAAGAGAGGUGAGGUGAUGAAGCCCCAUGUAGUCCAGAGAUUCUAGAUUUCUGAGAUAAGGUAUUCAAGGGAGGAGGGAAGCGCCUGCUCUGAUAUGGACUCAAGCUUAGGGCAACCCUCGAUACUCAAUCUCUGAAGAGAUGUGAGGUGAUGAAGCUCCUUAUAGUCCAGAGAUUUCAGGUUUUCCAGACGAUUGAUUUCAAGGGUUGUAAGAGUAGAGGGCAACGUCUCCUCGUCAAAAGACUCCACAUCGUUCCCAGUAAAUAUGAAGCAUGAAAGAGAAGGGAGUGCUUGCAAACCACAUACCUUGAGUUUGAUACAAUCCACAAUGCAAAGUGUGUUUAAUUUGGAGGGUAAACCUCCUUCAGGAAACGAAUCAACUUCUGGAAGUGAGAUCAAUUGCAAAUCUGUAGGGAAGGGAGGAGGGAAUGCAUGUUUUCCGGCAACGACUUCAAAUAUGAGCAACCCUCUAACACAAGCCUUGUCAAAUCUGGGGCAGCUAGUCCUCCUUUGGGGAAAGACACCAAAUUAGGACAGUGACUGAUUGUCAGAUGACAGAGAGCAGGGACAGGUCUCUCGCCUAUACAAAGGGAUUCCAGAUUGAGACAAUGUUCAAUGGUAAGUGUGGAUACCUGGGGUAAAAGGUCUAGCUGGCAGCACUUAAAUGAACUACAUCUCUCGAUUUUGAUAAAAGUGAAAGAAGAGGGAUCCAAACGACUCAUUUGCUCCAUUCCCUUUAGCUGGGGAUCUUGUCUAAAAUGGAGGCACGGCGUGGAUGGUUGAUCUGAUAACCCAAACUGUCCUGUUAGCCCAUUUAUACGUCUUUCAUCGCCCUCAGAUACAUUGAUUACGCCGAGCAUGGGUGCCUCUGGAAUUGAAACCACAAGCUGUGGACAUUCUUGAAUAAAAGCUUCCAUAAACAAGGAAGGUGACUAGGCAAGGCAUUUGUUAACUUGGGGCAAUGUCUUAUGCGGAGCUCUGCAAGAUGAGGGAAAGCACCAGCUACAUCUGUUUUCCAUUCCUGCCAUUUUCGCAUCCCCUCAAACUUUAAUAUUUUGAGGGAUUUAAAUGGCUUCUCCAUCGAAGGGUCACUUCCAUAGAACUCAGAACCAACUGCCACGACUUCAUCAAAUCCUUCAAUAUGGAGCUCUUCUAGAGAUGGCAGCUGCCCCAAUGGUGGUAAGAGGAUGCAGUUCUUACAUCCAUAAAGAAACAACACUACCAUAUUUGAGAAAGAAGAGUUUCCAAGCCAGCCUGGAAACGUUGUACCCCGUAACCAGUAAUGGCAAGCUGUUUCACAUUUUCAGAAGGCUCCAAUUUCUCAAGUACUUCUCUCUCGUGUGGUGUGUCAUCCGUAUUGCCAUCCCACGUCAACCCCAACUCCUCAAUCUUCUUCUUACCCUUCAAAUCGGCAUCCAAAGCAUCUUGAGCAUUUGCAACAUCUCUGAGAUUCCGAAUAGAAAGUUUUUUCCUUAUAUGUGAGAGCUUCCCCAACUCUUUCAUGCUAGACCCGCUAUCUUUUCCCACGAUGUAAGAUUCCAAAAUUCGAAGCUUCGUGAGUUUCCCCAUUUUUGGUGGCAUCUCUUUCAAAUUUGUCCCUUCAAUAUCAAGAUGUUGUAAGUCGACCAAGUUGGAAAGGUUGGAUGGCAACUCCAUGAGAUGUCGGCACUCUUUAACAAUAAGCUUUGCAAAUAGUACAAGGUGCACACACUUUCAGGUAACCUUUCAAUGGCGGUGCAAGAAAGGUCCAAGUGCCGCAAAUGUUUUCAAGUUGCCAAUGGAAUUGAGCAACUGAGAAGAAAUAUCUUUUAGAUGAAUAAAGAUAGCAUUCGCAAGCGCUUAAGAUUUGGCAAGAUGUCAUUCAGUGCCUCAUAUCACUUCCCUUAAAAACAUAGUGGAAACAAGGCGCGCAAAUGUUGGACUCCAUGAAUGCUACGAAAUAUCCGAAGUCCUCGUCAUAUGCUCCUGAAGUGAUUGAUAAAUAACGAGUCCUUUCUGGAAGCGAGCAUGAAUGUUCACCCUCCAACCCAGAGCCCGAUUCAUUAAUACCAAGCUUAAAGCAAAAUUCUCCUGACACGUAUUCAGCUAAAUCACUUAUGAUGUCAUGCAUGCUGAAAUCUGAUUGAACAUGAAGUGAUUGCUGGAAAAGUGACCUGGAGACAAGAUCAUCAAAGUAUUUUUCACCUAUAUCUUCCAUCUCCUCAACUCCUCUGGACUGGCCUAAAAAACCAUGUGCCAUCCAUUCAGUGAUUAAUCCAUUUUUCUUGAAUACAUAACUCUUGGGAAAUAUUGCACAAUAAACAAAACAACGUUUCAGGUGUGAAGGGAGAUAAUAAUAGCUCAAUGUUAGAGCUGGAGGGAUGUUUUCAUUCGACAAUCCCCACAAACUGCUAUUGGAUAUCUUCUCCCAUUGCCUGACAUCUCCUACGGAGUGCAAAAGACCCCCAAGAGUUUUCGCUGCCAGCGGUAAACCUUUGCACUUUCUCGCUAUUUCUCUGCCAAAUGCUUCCAAGUGUGAGACUGCUCCAGAAUUUACACCACUAAAUGCAUCCCUUGCAAACAAUUUCCAGCAAUCUUCAUCGCUUAUUACAUCCAAGCGGUGAGAGGGGAUGACUGUUUGCGUGACUUUUGCUACAUCUUCAUUCCGUGUUGUCACGACAAUCUUACUUCCGUGCUCCACAUACAGCAAAGGUAGCAGUAGUUUAUCCCAUUCAUUGUACUUAAUGUUCCACGCGUCAUCUAGAACAAGUAGAAGUUUCUUCCCUUUCACUGCCUCCAUUAGAGAUUCAUCUGGUUCUUUGGUGCGGCAAGUACUUGCGUUGAUCUUAUCAAGAAUAUCCUUAAUAAUCCUGGCAACAUCAAAUUGUUGGAAGCCCAGACCCAGGCUUUGAGCUCGAAGCACUCAUCUAUCGUUGUAGAUAAGCUGAGCAAGAGUGGUUUUACCAAUCCCGCCCAUGCCCACAAUGGAACGCACAACUAAAUUUGAGCCAUCUGUGUUGUGUUGUGUCAACAAGUGCUCCAUUAUGGCUUCCUUAUCAGCGUCCCUUCCAUAUACAUAGAGAUUCAUUAACCAGUGGAGUUGUUUUCUCUGACAAUGGUCUCCAUCCACCAGUACCUUCUAUGUGGCGCAGAUCACCCUUGUGUUUAAGUAAACGUUCAAGCUUCUCAAGGAUCUUUUGUAACUCUGCUUCCAUCUCUUUCAUCCUUCUAUUAGCUGGAUUUAGAAAUGGAAACCGAUCCUUACCUGCAAUGGUGGACUAAAUAUGUGAGAUAGAAUUCAGGAAAACAUUAUAAUUUAUAAUAUCAAAACAUAAACAUUAAGAUUUUUACAUCUAGUGAAUUAAUAAGUUAAUACCAUUAAAUUGUUGAUGCUAUAAACAUUAAGAUUUUUACAUCUAGUGAAUUAAUAAGUUAAUGCCAUUAAAUUGUUGAUGCUAGCUUAACGUAAUUAAGCAGUGAAAGUCAAGUUUUAAAAAGAUAUUGAUUCAAUGCCAUAAGUGAUUUUCAUAGCCCUUACUAUAUAAUAUUAUUUAUAUAUAUAUAAUGAAAUUAAUUUUUUUUCUAAAAUAAAAAUGGAAAAAUAAUUGUUUAGCAAUUAAAAAGUAAAGUAUUUAUUUUUCAUAUUUAAAAUAAAGAUAUGAGCCUUUCAUGUAUAAAACAUCAUUCCAAUUUCUAAUUGUGCUAACAAAAAAUCAAUGCAUAAUUCUUGGUGAUUAUUAUAUAUAAUUACUAAGAAAUUUAAUAUUUAUAAUAAUGGGUUUUGAAUCUCGUAAGUCCUAACUAUUCAUCACUAAAAAUAUUGAAAGACAAUUCAAUUUUAUAUCCCUUAUAUUUUCAUAAAAAAGUAAGAGUCAUUCAUGUUCUCAUAAAAAUAUAUAUAAUUUAAUUGACAAAAUUUAUAUAAAUAAUUCAGAUUUUAAAAAUAUAGCAUUUUGGAUUUUAAAAAAAACAAACAAACAAAUAGAGGGAUCAAUACAAACAUUUUAUGAGGAAGCAAGGUCUCUAGGUGCAAGAACUUAUGCUUACCCAAUUGCUGUCAGGUCGAGGGGCAUCAAUGUCCUUGGAUCGUAGAUAUUCAUAAUCAAUCUCCUCCGAUAUGUCCUCAGCUUCAUAGACAGCGUGUUUAACAUCAUUAAGCCACUUCUUCACAGCACGAUUUGUAAUCUGCUUCUCCUCCGCAUCGUCGAGUAGUCCGUUGACAGUAUUCAGUGUUUCAUUCAGCUUUUCCAGAAGACCAUCAUCGAGUUUGUGGCUUUGGAAGAAGCCCAGAACCUCACGAGAGGCCAACCUGUCGACCAGAACCUCAAUGAGAGCAGAGAGAAUUGAUCCUCCGAUCAACUCCAGAGACAUGGUGGAUUUUUGCAGAAGGGUGAGGGUGGGAAUAUGUGAGAGAAAAGGAGUUGUGGAAAGCAGGAGCCUUGGUGGAUUUUUGCUAAAGGGUGAGAGAGUGAUUAUGUGAGAGAGAAUGAUAAGCCAAAUAGAAAACCCGAGGAAGCCGGCUUCGAGUGUGUUUGUCCUUGACGCAGUGUAUGCGUUUUCUCUCAAUGUAUAGAAAUGAUGGGCCCACUGCCCAAGGUUGGAACUUGGAUAUGAAAAAGAUUUUUUUUUUUCUGCUUUUUACAUGCUGGAUCACAGGUUAAACCUUCUUGAUCUGCUAAAAAAAACAUUCAAAAAUUAUCUUUGCAUCCUUUUUCUUUCUCCUAUCAUUCAUUACAAUUGCUUGUCUUUCUUUGAACAAUACAAUUGCCCAGAAAAUUCUGGUUUUGCUAUCAACAUGAUACAAUAGCAAUGAACAAGUCUAUUUCAUUAAAAAUUCAGAUUUGUAAUUUACUCGUAAACUAGUCGACUUAUCAGGUCAACCUGAAACUUGAAUGACUCGGUAAAAUACUAGUAAAGACCAUUUUCUUCAAAUGUAUUUUUUUCUCCUAUCUAGGAACCUUUUAUAUAUUUUAUUUUUUUUAUUUAGUUACUCAUUUCAAAAUUCACUAUAUAAAUAUUAGAAGAAUAUUUUAUUUUUUUAAUGUGAUAUUUUGAAGCCCUUUAAUAUAUAUACUUUAUGUUCUUCAAAAAAAAAUUAUGUUUUUUCAAAUGUAGAAUAAAAAACCUUUUUUGUUUAAAUACUUCAACUUAAAAAAAUAAGAUAGUAUAUUUUCAAAGUAGAAUAAAAAAUCUUUUGAAAUAAUCUUUUAAACUUAAUUGCUUACAACAUGUAUAGCCUAUAUCCAUAUAGAUUAUUUUUUAUUUUUUUAUAUAAAAUAUUAAAACCUCAUAUUUUUUUAAUUUUUCCUGAUUGACCCGAGUCAACCCAUGUAAACUAGGACCUAGCCCCUUAGUCGGGUUAAUCCUUAGGCUGAGUUUGAUAACCAUGAUUGUCAUGAGAAUACAACUUUAAAAAUGCAAUUAAAAAGAAAUAAAGUGAUGUGAACAGUUAAAAAAUCAAAUAAAUAGAUAAAACCUUUUCUUUUUUAUUUUAUUAAGGGCCUCUUUUAAUUAUUUUUUUUAUUAUGUGUUUAGAGAUAAAUUUAUGGACACUAAAAUCAACAUUUUUUAUUCUUGAAAUACAACUCACCAAAAUACCUUUUUAUAUAUAUCUAACGACUUUCUAUUUAUACUCAUGACAUCAAAAAAUUGAAAUACGAGGAGAAUGAAGUUUUAGAAUUAAAUAUAAAUAGCUAAAACUACAAGAAUAAAAGAAAAAACUUUAGGAACCCAAAUGAACUUUUAUGAGAAUUUCAAGGAUCAAAACUCAAUAUUCAGAUAGUAAAACGAGUGGGAAAUGAAGUUUAAAACUAAAAUGUAAACACAUAAAACUACUAGGAUUAAAAAUAUUUUUUUAAAAAACUUCAUUUGGUAUUACUCUUAGAACGUAAUUGGUACAAGGCUUAAAAAUAUGGGUGAAAUUAUCACAUAAAUAAUAAUUAUUAUUAUAAGAGCAAAUUUAAAAAGUGUAAAUGUUGGUUUUUAAAAAUGACUGAUGUAUUUGAACAGUUAAAUACUUGUGAAAAAAAGAGAGAAUAAUUUAAUAAUUAACUUCAACUUUUCCAUUAAUUAAUUAAGAUCUAAAAAAUCCAAAAAUUAUAAGUUUCUAAUAUAAAGUUAAAAAAUUUACAUAUAUAUAAAAAAGAUAUUUCAUAAAAUUCUAUUUUUUUUUAAUAAUUCACAGAAACUCAAUGCAAGACUUCAUAUGUUGAAUCUUCUCAUUAUCAACACUUUCAAAUAUAUCUUUUUUGAUAUAAGUAACCAAACAAUCAUUAAAUAAAUUAUCCCCAACUCGAUUGUGUAAUCGACUUUUGACUAAUUUCAACGUUGAAAAUAUUCUCUUUACUGAUGCAAUAACCACGCGUAAAAUUAAUGCUAAAUUUAUCACGUAAUAUAUGUUAUUUAUUAAAUUUAUUACUUAUAUAUUAAAAUGUAUGGGAUUUUCACCGUGUAUUUGUUAUUAUACAAUUUUUUUUUUCAGUUUAUCCAUGACAACUAGAGUGCCGAGCUCAAAAUGCUAGGGUCUGACAUAGUACCCGACCUAAUUACCAAACCCUAGAUUUGGUAACUAUGCAAGACCCAAGCAUCCCUUGCAAACAACUCCCAGCAAUAUUCAUAGCUUAUUGCAUUCAAGCGGUGAAAGGGGAUGACAGUUUGCGUGACUUUUGCUACAUCUUCUUCCCGUGUUGUCACGACAAUCUUACUUCCGUGCUCCACAUACCGCAAAGGUAGCAGUAGUUUAUCCCAUUCAUUGUACUUGAUGUUCCACGCGUCAUCUAGAACAGGUAGAAGUUUUUUCCCUUUCACUGCCUCCAUUAGAGAUUCAUCUGGUUCUUUGGUGCGGCAUGUACUUGCGUUGAUCUUAUCAAGAAUAUCCUGAAUAAUCCUGGCAACAUCAAAAUAGAUAACAACUACUGUAUAAAUAAUAAUUUUUAAAAUUUUUAAUUGAAAUCUAUUUUUUAAUCUAAUUAUUGGACACAUAUGAACAUUUUGACUCAUAAUUAAUUUUUUUAAAAAAAAUUCAUAAAAUUAUAAUUUUUAUGUGAAAUAAUCCACUGUUUAAUACAAUAAACUUCAAUUAAAUGACCAAUUAAGCUAGAUGAUUGAACUUUCAAUUAAUUUGUUAACUUGCGCUAACAUUUACCAAUGUUACUGUUUGAAAAUGUAAAAGUAAGCUAUUUCACUAAAAAAAAAUUUCGGUCUAGCAUCACUAAGCCACCUCUGCACAGCAGGCUUGGUAAUCUGUUUCUCCUCCGCGUCGUCGAGAAGUCCGUUGAGAGUAUUCAGUGUUUCUUUCAACUUUCCGAGAAGACCAUCAUUGAGCUUGUGGCUUUCGUCUCAUUUGCCCUGAAACCAAGCAUACGUUGUGGAAUUGAAAAGUAAGCAAGAGUUGCAAUAAAUCUCGUAAGUUAUGGAUUGAUUUGGUUCUACGAGGAUUAAUAUCACAACCAGCUUUGAAAAGCGAUAUGUUUUUGAUUUUUUGUUGUUUUUUUUAAAUGUUUUUUAAUUAAAAAUAUAUUAAAAUAAUAUUUUUUAUUUAUUAAUUAAAAAUAAAUUAUUUAAAAUAAAGAAAACAAUUAAAUUUUUUUUAAAAAAAAAAUUUAAAAUGUAAAAAUAAACAGCCUUGAAGAAGGUUUUUGAGAGUAUAGUAAUACUUGCUUUUAAAAAAAAAAAUUUGCUUAUGUGUGAGAGCUUCCCCAGCUCUUUCAUGCUAGACCCGCUCUCUUUUCCCACAAUGUAAUAUUCCAAAUAUCGAAGCUUUGUGAGUUUCGUUAUUUUUGGUGGCAUCUCUUCCAAAUUUGUCCCUUCAAUAUCAAGAUAUUGUAGGUUGACCAAGUUGGAAAUGUUGGAUGGCAACUCCAUGAGAUGUCGGCACUCUCUUAACAAUAGAGUUUGCAAAUAGUACAAGGUGC
rnacentral:lncRNA from 1 species